rnacentral:lncRNA from 1 species
UGGUGUCAUCGACUAUUUACAAUGAGGCUACUGAGUUUGACUGCAUAUUUUUUUGAUCCUUAGCCAUUUGAGACCUUACUGUGUAUGUUGGCUACAAUAGGUUUAGGUUCAUUGUUAGGAGUAGGAUGCACAUAGAUAGAAUCUAUCAACUUUGGUAGAAAAGAAGAAGUCCUAUGCAAUUUGCGAAACUGAGUUCAAAAAGUCUUUGGCUAAAGCAAGUGUGAAUAUUGAAAAAAAUUAUCACAAAAUUCACAAGUAAACUUGAGUCAAGUCAAUCUAGUAUAUGACUGACG